AUUGAACGCUGGCGGCAUGCUUUACACAUGCAAGUCGAACGGUAACAGGCCGCAAGGUGCUGACGAGUGGCGAACAGGUGAGUAAUGCAUCGGAACGUGCCCAGUCGUGGGGGAUAACGCAGCGAAAGCUGUGCUAAUACCGCAUACGAUCUAUGGAUGAAAGCGGGGGACCGUAAGGCCUCGCGCGAUUGGAGCGGCCGAUGUCAGAUUAGGUAGUUGGUGGGGUAAAGGCUCACCAAGCCAACGAUCUGUAGCUGGUCUGAGAGGACGACCAGCCACACUGGGACUGAGACACGGCCCAGACUCCUACGGGAGGCAGCAGUGGGGAAUUUUGGACAAUGGGCGCAAGCCUGAUCCAGCAAUGCCGCGUGCAGGAAGAAGGCCUUCGGGUUGUAAACUGCUUUUGUGCGGAACGAAAAGGUUUGGGUUAAUACCCUGGGCCGAUGACGGUACCGUAAGAAUAAGCACCGGCUAACUACGUGCCAGCCGCCGCUGUAAGAC
rnacentral:rRNA from 1 species